ACGUUUUUGAGCGUCACCAAGUUUUGCUUCUGGCAGUCUGCUGGUUCUUUUGGAAAUCCUUUCACGGAUCCAGAGUCGAUGGAGCGAAACACCUGCAUCACACGAAGUGAUCGUCCAGCUCCGUGACCAUCAAGGCCUGGUCGCCAUCGUUUGGGCUGAGAAUCCAGGAAAUCCUGUCGAUCUCGAUCAUAGCAUCCUCGUGCCAUGUCGCGGCCUUUCUCCAGCGCUGAGCAAAGUUUGUCAGCACGUCGUACGCUGCCGGGCCGUCUAUCCGGCAGUGGAGGUCGUGCCACGGCUGCCUUGGACCACCAUGAUCGAUCGUUCCCUGGUUUUCCAGCUCAACCAACGUAAGCAUCGAGUAACAAAGAAGCAAAAAAAGUAUGCUUUUCUGCUAACACUACUGUCAAGAAGGAUGUGUUCUUUUGCUUACAGUGAAAGUCGGGUUGUGGUAGUCGUCCCUGUGGAUGCUGCCAAGCGUUUUGAACAACGGAUGCUCAGGCGUGUCGUAUCGUCCUUGCGCCAGGUCCAGCCCACCUAUGAAAGACAACGUUCCCACAACCUGGGAAAAGAUCGAGACGAAGAGUCAAAAGGAAAGAAAAAGAGAAAAGCCGCGAAGUCUCACCCAUUGCUUGAGCCAACUCAUUUUGGAAUCGCCAUAGCGAGGGGAGAGCACGCAUCGCACCGCCGAGUGCCGGAAGAACUUCUUCGUCUCCUCGUCAUAGGUAGCCAUCACUCCUUUCUGCAACUCACAGCGAUGUUAACUUCCAGCAAUCUCGCAAGAACAAAGAAGAAGAAGAAGAAAAGAAGAGAUUUUUCUUUC